rnacentral:rRNA from 1 species
GACGAACGCUGGCGGCGUGCUUAACACAUGCAGGUCGAACGGAAAGGCGCUGCUUUUGUGGGGUGCUCGAGUGGCGAAGGGGUGAGUAACACGUGAGUAACCUGCCCUUGACUUUGGGAUAACUUCAGGAAACUGGGGCUAAUACCGGAUAGGAGCUCCUGCUGCAUGGGGGGGGUUGGAAAGUGUCGGCGGUUGGGGAUGGACUCGCGGCUUAUCAGCUGGUUGGUGGGGUAGUGGCUUACCAAGGCUUUGACGGGUAGCCGGCCUGAGAGGGUGACCGGCCACAUUGGGACUGAGAUACGGACCAGACUCCUACGGGAGGCAGCAGUGGGGAAUAUUGCACAAUGGGCGGAAGCCUGAUGCAGCAACGCCGCGUGCGGGAUGACGGCCUUCGGGUUGUAAACCGCUUUCGCCUGUGACGAAGCGUGAGUGACGGUAAUGGGUAAAGAAGCACCGGCUAACUACGUG